GGAGUUAAUGAUCCCACUUGCCAUCACUUGGCAUAGAAUGUCCUUAUUUUACUAUAUCAGUUGUUUAAAUAUUGUUUAUAAUUAAUUCUAAUGAGUAUCCACUGAGACUGUGUGUAACAUGAGCGCCCUCUGCUGGGGCCCGUGUAGACUUGAGCGGUGCAGCCCGUGUAUCGUUACCAGCCUGCACUAUGCUGUCUCCGUGGUAAGUUAUGUGUAAAUAAGCUCCGCUAAAAAUACUAUAAAAUAAGUUCGUUUUUCUUGAUGAAAGUAAUAUUUUUCCAUUUAACAUGUUUGAGAGAAUUUUCGAAAGUAUUGUAAAACUUUUCUGUGAUCAUAUUACUAUGUUUUUGAGUCAUUAAGGUUCAUCAUGUUGUGUGUUUUGCUAGCUAAAAUGUAACUUCUGAUCUCCGUGGUAUAGCUUGUUUAACAGUUAGCUCAUUUAAUGGUUUCUAUGUUUUAGCAAUGUUGGAGCUUAUUACUAGAAGAGUGGCUGUGAGAGACCGUAUGUGCUUCUGUUGUUAUCAGAUUAAACGGCGUGCUGGUGCCAAAUGUAAAA